rnacentral:rRNA from 1 species
UACGGGGGGGAGCAAGCGUUGUUCGGAUUUACUGGGCGUAAAGGGCGCGUAGGCGGCCCGGUAAGUAGGGGGGUGAAAUCCUGCGGCUUAACCGCAGGGCUGCCUUCUAAACUGUCGGGCUCGAGCACGGUAGAGGCAGAUGGAAUUCCCGGUGUAGCGGUGGAAUGCGUAGAGAUCGGGAAGAACGUCAGUGGCGAAGGCGGGUCUGCUGGGCC